rnacentral:tRNA from 1 species
AUUUAAGUAGCUUAUACCUAGAGCAUGGUUUUGAAGCAGCCAGGGAAAUUUAUUUUAAUUCUUAAAUA